AUUGAACGCUGGCGGAAUGCUUUACACAUGCAAGUCGAGCGGCAGCGCGGGGCAACCUGGCGGCGAGCGGCGAACGGGUGAGUAAUGCAUCGGAACAUGUCCAUGUCGUGGGGGAUAGCCCGGCGAAAGCCGGAUUAAUACCGCAUACGCCCGAGAGGGGAAAGCAGGGGACCGCAAGGCCUUGCGCGAUUGGGUUGGCCGAUGUCCGAUUAGCUUGUUGGUGAGGUAAAGGCUUACCAAGGCGAUGAUCGGUAGCUGGUCUGAGAGGAUGAUCAGCCACACUGGGACUGAGACACGGCCCAGACUCCUACGGGAGGCAGCAGUGGGGAAUUUUGGACAAUGGGGGCAACCCUGAUCCAGCCAUCCGCGUGAGUGAAGAAGGCC
rnacentral:rRNA from 1 species